CAUGUUCAGCUUGAAUGACUGUUAAGAAACGAAGUGAAAACAAUUGGAUCUACCAGUCAGGGCCAAGAGCAUGACUCUGACUCAGCUCAGGAGAGAACGGCAGGAGUGGUCAUUUAUGGGACUAUAUGAGAUCCCGAAGAAAAAAUCUGUGUAGGGAGAGAAAAGAAGACUCCAAUAUCCAGGGUGUCAAGAAGAUGCAAAGCCAGAGAAGGAAAUCAGGAAGUAGAAGAAACUAGAUAUUUUUACAAUGGAUGCGGAGGGUUGCUUGUGUUGUGUUCAGGAAGAUGCAAGAAACGGAACUCAUAGAACUUCAAUUCAAUAGAGGAAUGUUUUCACGUAAUGACAACUUCUGCUAUCUCUGCAACGUGUAACGAUAGGAGCUUGAAUCAUUAAUACUGGAUUCCACAAACCCUCAAGGCUGUUUUUUCAGGUUGAAUCAUCUCUGCCUCUUACCACAGAGAACUGGCAUGAAAGCACAGAACAAACAUCUACAAUGUACUUCAAGGUCAGACAACCGGCAACUAGAAGACAACUGGAAAAGACGGACACAUCCUGAUGUGGGAACUCCUUCUAACUGCACUGUUGAACUGCUCCUGUAGUCUUGUGCACAAUAUGUAUGGCAGCUCACAAUCUUUCAGAUCAGAAGGACCCGUUCUCCUGUUCUAUGUCGAGCAUGGAAAAGAACACUUCGUGAUCCAUCUACAAUCGAAGAAAAUUCUUUCAGGCAGUGUGCUUUUUGUAAUGAAGGAUUAACACGAAUUAACAAUAAAUUUUUUAAGUUUGAAAAUGUCACAGAAAUAUUUAGGGAACACACACAUACAGGUAGAACCAGUAUCUUGUUUAUUUACCCUGACAAUUCACUAUCUUUGUGUGGUUUUAUACAGGUGUUGACUUUCAAAGCUAAAAAAAAAAAAAAAAAAAAGGAUGUAAUCCCAGCUACUCGGGAGGCUGAGGCUGAGGCUGAGGCAGGAGAAUUGCCUGAACCCAGGAGGCGGAGGUUGCAGUGAGCCAAGAUCGCACCAUUGCACUCCAGCCUGGGUAACAAGAGUGAAAUUCCG
rnacentral:lncRNA from 13 species